rnacentral:rRNA from 1 species
AGUGAACGCUGGCGGUAGGCCUAACACAUGCAAGUCGAACGGCAGCACAGUAAGAGCUUGCUCUUACGGGUGGCGAGUGGCGGACGGGUGAGGAAUACAUCGGAAUCUACUUUUUCGUGGGGGAUAACGUAGGGAAACUUACGCUAAUACCGCAUACGACCUACGGGUGAAAGCAAGGGAUCUUCGGACCUUGCGCGAUUGAAUGAGCCGAUGUCGGAUUAGCUAGUUGGCGGGGUAAAGGCCCACCAAGGCGACGAUCCGUAGCUGGUCUGAGAGGAUGAUCAGCCACACUGGAACUGAGACACGGUCCAGACUCCUACGGGAGGCAGCAGUGGGGAAUAUUAGACAAUGGGCGCAAGCCUGAUCCAGCCAUACCGCGUGGGUGAAGAAGGCGUUCGGGUUGUAAAGCCCUUUUGUUGGGAAAGAAAAGCAGCAGGUUAAUACCCCGCUGUUCUGACGGUACCCAAAGAAUAAGCACCGGCUAACUUCGUG